rnacentral:tRNA from 1 species
AAAAGAUUAGUUUUAAAAAAAAUAUUAAUUUGUCAAAUUAAAGAUGUUAUUAUUCAUCUUUUU